UACGGAGGGUGCGAGCGUUGUCCGGAAUCAUUGGGCGUAAAGAGCGUGUAGGCGGCCAUACAGGUCAGCUGUGAAAACUCGAGGCUCAACCUCGAGACGUCGGCGGAAACCAUCUGGCUAGAGUCCGGAAGAGGAGAGUGGAAUUCCUGGUGUAGCGGUGAAAUGCGCAGAUAUCAGGAGGAACACCGACGGCGAAGGCAGCACUCUGGGCCGGUACUGACGCUGAGGAGCGAAAGCAUGGGGAGCGAACAGG
rnacentral:rRNA from 1 species